rnacentral:rRNA from 1 species
AGUGGCGGACGGGUGAGUAACGCGUGGGUAACCUGCCUUGUACAGGGGGAUAACAGUUGGAAACGACUGCUAAUACCGCAUAAGCGCACAGUACCGCAUGGUACAGUGUGAAAAACUCCGGUGGUACGAGAUGGACCCGCGUCUGAUUAGCUUGUUGGUGGGGUAACGGCCUACUAAGGCAACGAUCAGUAGCCGACUUGAGAGAGUGAUCGGCCACAUUGGGACUGAGACACGGCCCAAACUCCUACGGGAGGCAGCAUG